UCGUGCUAGACGGGGAGUUAGCGGUGCCCUGUACCUGCAAUCCGCUAUAGCAGGGUUGAAUUCCUGACCGAGGGUAUAAUCUUUGGGGUCUGACCUUGGCAAGUGGUGUUGAGAAUCGGGCCCUGUGCAAUAGACGCUUGUGAACCCCGUCAGGUCCGGAAGGAAGCAGCGGUAAGCAAGCUAAUCUAUGUGCCUCAGGUCUACCUGAUUUGAGCCAACUACCAAGGUAACGCUCGAAGAUUAUAUUCGACGAAAGGUGCACGA
rnacentral:SRP_RNA from 1 species